UACGUAGGGCGCAAGCGUUGUCCGGAUUUAUUGGGCGUAAAGAGCUCGUAGGCGGUCCGUCACGUCGGCUGUGAAAACCCGAGGCUCAACCUCGGGCCUGCAGUCGAUACGGGCAGACUAGAGUGCGGUAGGGGAGACUGGAAUUCCUGGUGUAGCGGUGAAAUGCGCAGAUAUCAGGAGGAACACCGAUGGCGAAGGCAGAUCUCUGGGCCGUAACUGACGCUGAGGAGCGAAAGCAUGGGGAGCGAACAGG
rnacentral:rRNA from 1 species